UUUUAAUGUAUGACGCCGUUGGUCAACGUUUAACCAUUCGUCUUAUUCAAAAUAUUUAUAUAAUUAUCCUUUAUUUUAUUGUGACUUGAUUUGUCAUCAAAUGUUCUUUAAGCAUGACAUAAAUAUUUUCAUAUUCGCACAAAAAUUUUAAAUAAAACGAAUGGUCAAAUGUUGGUCGAAAAGUCAACGGCGUCAUACAUU
rnacentral:pre_miRNA from 1 species